rnacentral:misc_RNA from 1 species
GAUGAAGAACGUAGUGAAAUGCGAUAAGUAGUGUGAAUUGCAGAAUUCAGUGAAUCAUCGAAUCUUUGAACGCACAUUGCGCCCUUUGGUAUUCCAAAGGGCAUGCCUGUUCGAGCGUCAUUUGUACCCUCAAGCUUUGCUUGGUGUUGGGCGUCUUGUCUCUAGCUUUGCUGGAGACUCGCCUUAAAGUAAUUGGCAGCCGGCCUACUGGUUUCGGAGCGCAGCACAAGUCGCACUCUCUAUCAGCAAAGGUCUAGCAUCCAUUAAGCCUUUUUUUUCAACUUUUGACCUCGGAUCAGGUAGGGAUACCCGCUGAACUUAAGCAUAUCAAUAAGCGAGGA